AGAAGCGUUAAAGAGAUCUGCUACAACCCUGAAAUUGUUCCAUCACUUGGAGAUGUGUACAAGGGAUUCUAUCAUUAACUAUGCAUAUUUUAUUAGGCAUCAGCACAAAGUACAAAAGACAGUAGUAAAGAAGAAAAGGAAGCUAAAAUUGUUUAUUAUACAAUCCAGUCCAAUACUACAUAGAAAAUAUUUACUUAUUAUCAUUCACGAGAAUAUUGCUCAUAUUUUUAGUUAUAUAAAGAGUCUAAUAAGCCAUAGCAGCAUACGUGCUCUUAUGAAUUUUGAUUAUUUAUAUAAUCAGUUCUCCAUCGAGAAACUGUGCCUCGUAAUCUUCUCCUCUGCUGCAGAAACUGCUUUGACCUGAUAAAGAGGAGUCUGCUCUGGUAGAUACUGGUAGAGACGAGCUUGUGGAACAUGGUGUUUUUGUUGAGUAGAACUUGAAGCCCUCCUCCUUUUCCCGAAAUACUCAUCCACUAAUGCAAACCCAUCCCUGCCAAUUUUAAUAAGGUCGGCCUUAGAUGCCAUUUUCUAGAGAAAUAAUGUUAUAGAGAAAGAUCUGUUGUUAUUGAUGCAAAAGCAAUUGGGUGAAAUCCCUUUAUAUAGAAAGCCUGAUGGAAGUGGAGAGUUAAUUAAAGUUAUAAGGUGG
rnacentral:lncRNA from 1 species